rnacentral:rRNA from 1 species
UACGUAGGGUGCGAGCGUUAAUCGGAAUUACUGGGCGUAAAGCGUGCGUAGGCGGCGAUGCAAGACAGAUGUGAAAUCCCCGGGCUUAACCUGGGAACUGCAUUUGUGACUGCAUGGCUAGAGUGUGUCAGAGGGAGGUGGAAUUCCGCGUGUAGCAGUGAAAUGCGUAGAGAUGUGGAGGAACACCGAUGGCGAAGGCAGCCCCCUGGGUUAACACUGACGCUCAGGCACGAAAGCGUGGGGAGCAAACAGG